rnacentral:lncRNA from 1 species
AGCAUGUUUAGACAGAACAGGGGAGGACAAGGUGCCUGACUGGGUGGGAGUGGCAGGAGGGGAAGGCUUCCUGGGAAGAGAAGGGGAGAUGAGUUUUGUGGUGGGGGUGCUGGAAGAAAGCCUAGGCGAGCCCGUCCUUCCUCCCUGCUUUCUCCAAGGUCAUCUGCAUUCAGAGCCUGGAAUCAGUGGGAGUGAGGAGCUGCUUGUGUAAACCCAGGGCUGGGGCUUCACAGCACCGUCCACUAGACCUUCUGCAAGGAAGGAAAUGCGCCAUCAUCUGUGCUGCCCAACGGGACGGCCCUGGCCACACUUUAAUCCUGGCUCGUGCAACUGGGAAACUGAAUUUUUAAAAAGAAUUUAAAUUUAAAUAACCACAGGAGGCGCUUGGCUACCAUAUUGGACACGGCAUACAAUACAGAUGGCUAGGGAAAGUGAGAGGUCACAGCGCCCUCCAAGUACCUUGUGCUCCUAUGAAGAGGGAGCAGCUUUCUGAAAUUUUUAACACCUUUCCAGAUGUGCUGAAGAG